UACGUAGGGUCCGAGCGUUAAUCGGAAUUACUGGGCGUAAAGCGUGCGCAGGCGGUUAUGUAAGACAGAUGUGAAAUCCCCGGGCUCAACCUGGGGAACUGCAUUUGUGACUGCACGGGCUGGAGUGCGGCAGAGGGGAUGGAAUUCCGCGUGUAGCAGUGAAAUGCGUAGAUAUGCGGAGGAACACCGAUGGCGAAGGCAAUCCCCUGGGCCUGCACUGACGUCAUGCACGAAAGCGUGGGGAGCAAACAGG
rnacentral:rRNA from 1 species